rnacentral:rRNA from 1 species
UACGUAGGGUGCGAGCGUUAAUCGGAAUUACUGGGCGUAAAGCGUGCGCAGGCGGUUCGUUGUGUCGGCGGUGAAAGCCCUGGGCUCAACCUGGGAAUUGCGAUGGAUACUGGCAAGCUAGAGUACGGUAGAGGAUGGUGGAAUUCCCGGUGUAGCGGUGAAAUGCGUAGAGAUCGGGAGGAACACCCGUGGCGAAGGCGGCCAUCUGGACCAGUACUGACGCUGAGGCACGGAAAGCGUGGGGAGCAAACAGGG